rnacentral:rRNA from 1 species
CGGCGGACGGGUGAGUAACGCGUGGGUAACCUACCCUGUACACACGGAUAACAUACCGAAAGGUAUGCUAAUACGGGAUAAUAUAUUUGAGAGGCAUCUCUUGAAUAUCAAAGGUGAGCCAGUACAGGAUGGACCCGCGUCUGAUUAGCUAGUUGGUAAGGUAACGGCUUACCAAGGCGACGAUCAGUAGCCGACCUGAGAGGGUGAUCGGCCACAUUGGAACUGAGACACGGUCCAAACUCCUACGGGAGGCAGCAGUGGGGAAUAUUGCACAAUGGGCGAAAGCCUGAUGCAGCAACGCCGCGUGAGUGAUGAAGGCCUUCGGGUCGUAAAACUCUGUCCUCAAGGAAGAUAAUGACGGUACUUGAGGAGGAAGCCCCGGCUAACUACGUGCCAGCAGCCGCGGUAAUACGUAGGGGGCUAGCGUUAUCCGGAUUUACUGGGCGUAAAGGGUGCGUAGGCGGUCUUUCAAGUCAGGAGUGAAAGGCUACGGCUCAACCGUAGUAAGCUCUUGAAACUGGGAGACUUGAGUGCAGGAGAGGAGAGUGGAAUUCCUAGUGUAGCGGUGAAAUGCGUAGAUAUUAGGAGGAACACCAGUUGCGAAGGCGGCUCUCUGGACUGUAACUGACGCUGAGGCACGAAAGCGUGGGGAGCAAACAGGAUUAGAUACCCUGGUAGUCCACGCUGUAAACGAUGAGUACUAGGUGUCGGGGGUUACCCCCUUCGGUGCCGCAGCUAACGCAUUAAGUACUC